rnacentral:rRNA from 1 species
CGGGGGGCAGCAGUGAGGAAUAUUGGUCAAUGGACGCAAGUCUGAACCAGCCAUGCCGCGUGAAGGAUGAAGGCCUUCUGGGUUGUAAACUUCUUUUACAGGAGAAGAAAACUAUGGUUUCUACUAUAGCCGACGGUACCCUGGGAAUAAGCACCGGCUAACUCCGUGCCAGCAGCCGCGGUAAUACGGAGGGUGCAAGCGUUAUCCGGAUUUACUGGGUUUAAAGGGUGUGUAGGCGGGCUUUUAAGUCAGUGGUGAAAUCUCCGAGCUCAACUUGGAAACUGCCAUUGAUACUAUUAGUCUUGAAUUUUGUUGAGGUGGGCGGAAUAAGUCAUGUAGCGGUGAAAUGCAUAGAUAUGACUUAGAACUCCAAUUGCGAAGGCAGCUCACUAAACAAACAUUGACGCUGAGGCACGAAAGCGUGGGGAUCAAACAGGAUUAGAUACCCCAGU